rnacentral:tRNA from 9 species
GCGCCCGUAGCUCAGUUGGAUAGAGCAAGGAGCUUCUACCUCCUUGGUCGGGGGUUCGAAUCCCUCCGGGCGCGCCA